UACGUAGGGUGCAAGCGUUAAUCGGAAUUACUGGGCGUAAAGCGUGCGCAGGCGGCUUUGCAAGACAGAUGUGAAAUCCCCGGGCUUAACCUGGGAACUGCAUUUGUGACUGCAUGGCUGGAGUGCGGCAGAGGGGGAUGGAAUUCCGCGUGUAGCAGUGAAAUGCGUAGAUAUGCGGAGGAACACCGAUGGCGAAGGCAGCCUCCUGGGAUAACACUGACGCUCAUGCACGAAAGCGUGGGGAGCAAACAGG
rnacentral:rRNA from 1 species